UUCCGGUUGAUCCUGCCGGACCCGACUGCUAUCAGAGUGAGAUUAAGCCAUGCGAGUUAACGUAGCAAUACAUGGCGCACGGCUCAGUAACACGUAGUCAACAUGCCCAGAGGACGUGGAUAUCCUCGGGAAACUGAGUCUAAACCGCGAUAAGUGAGGAUUUCUGGAAUGGUUCCUGACUAAAAUCUAUAUGGCCUCUGGAUUGGACUGCGGCCGAUCAGGCUGUUGGUGAGGUAAUGGCCCACCAAACCUGUAACCGGUACGGGCUCUGAGAGGAGGAGCCCGGAGAUGGGCACUGAGACAAGGGCCCAGGCCCUAUGGGGCGCAGCAGGCGCGAAACCUCUGCUAUAGGCGAAAGCCUGACAGGGUUACUCUGAGUGAUUUCCGUUAAGGAGAUCUUUUGGCACCUCUAAAAAUGGUGCAGAAUAAGGGGUGGGCAAGUCUGGUGUCAGCCGCCGCGGUAAAACCAACACCCUGAGUGGUCGGGACGUUUAUUGGGCCUAAAGCAUCCGUAGCCGGUUCUGCAAGUCUUCCGUUAAAUCCACCUGCUUAACAGAUGGGCUGCGGAAGAUACUAUAGAGCUAGGAGGCGGGAGAGGCAAGCGGUACUCGAUGGGUAGGGGUAAAAUCCGUUGAUCCAUUGAAGACCACCAGUGGCGAAGGCGGCUUGCCAGAACGCGCUCGACGGUGAGGGAUGAAAGCUGGGGGAGCAAACCGGAUUAGAUACCCGGGUAGUCCCAG
rnacentral:rRNA from 1 species